UACGAAGGGGGCUAGCGUUACUCGGAAUUAUUGGGCGUAAAGCGUGCGCAGGCGGCAAAGUAAGUUAGGGGUGAAAUCCUGGGGCUCAACCCCAGAAUAGCUUCUAAUACUGCUUUGCUGGAGUGUCGGAGGGGGUGACGGAAUUCCUAGUGUAGAGGUGAAAUUCGUAGAUAUUAGGAGGAACACCGGUGGCGAAAGCGGUCACCUGGACGAACACUGACGCUGUUGCACGAAAGCGUGGGGAGCAAACAGG
rnacentral:misc_RNA from 1 species